rnacentral:rRNA from 1 species
UUUGAUUCUGGCUCAGGACGAACGCUGGCGGCGUGCUUAACACAUGCAAGUCGAACGGAAAGGCCCCUUCGGGGGUACUCGAGUGGCGAACGGGUGAGUAACACGUGGGCAAUCUGCCCUGCACUUCGGGAUAAGCCUGGGAAACUGGGUCUAAUACCGGAUAGGACCUUUAGACGCAUGUCUUUUGGUGGAAAGCUUUUGCGGUGUGGGAUGGGCCCGCGGCCUAUCAGCUUGUUGGUGGGGUGAUGGCCUACCAAGGCGACGACGGGUAGCCGGCCUGAGAGGGUGUCCGGCCACACUGGGACUGAGAUACGGCCCAGACUCUUACGGGAGGCAGCAGUGGGGAAUAUUGCACAAUGGGCGCAAGCCUGAUGCAGCGACGCCGCGUGGGGGAUGACGGCCUUCGGGUUGUAAACCUCUUUCACCAUCGACGAAGGUCCGGGUUUUCUCGGAUUGACGGUAGGUGGAGAAGAAGCACCGGCCAACUACGUGCCAGCAGCCGCGGUAAUACGUAGGGUGCGAGCGUUGUCCGGAAUUACUGGGCGUAAAGAGCUCGUAGGUGGUUUGUCGCGUUGUUCGUGAAAUCUCACGGCUUAACUGUGAGCGUGCGGGCGAUACGGGCAGACUAGAGUACUGCAGGGGAGACUGGAAUUCCUGGUGUAGCGGUGGAAUGCGCAGAUAUCAGGAGGAACACCGGUGGCGAAGGCGGGUCUCUGGGCAGUAACUGACGCUGAGGAGCGAAAGCGUGGGGAGCGAACAGGAUUAGAUACCCUGGUAGUCCACGCCGUAAACGGUGGGUACUAGGUGUGGGUUUCCUUCCUUGGGAUCCGUGCCGUAGCUAACGCAUUAAGUACCCCGCCUGGGGAGUACGGCCGCAAGGCUAAAACUCAAAGGAAUUGACGGGGGCCCGCACAAGCGGCGGAGCAUGUGGAUUAAUUCGAUGCAACGCGAAGAACCUUACCUGGGUUUGACAUGCACAGGACG